rfam:Phycomyces blakesleeanus NRRL 1555(-) unplaced genomic scaffold PHYBLscaffold_5, whole genome shotgun sequence.
GUGACCGUACUCUACAGGAUCUGUAUGCAGUACAUAACCGUUCUACGUUUUUCAAACUAGACACAAUAUUCAAGUUAGUAGAUGAAUACUAGCAGACCUUCUAAAGAGUGAAGUGUGUUGAUUGUUUUUUCUUCGGAAUUUACUUUCAGCAGUUGAUGAUCUCGUCUGUCUCUAUUCCAGGGCAUGACAUGGAAGGAGCUGUUUUCUGAUAACU